UGACAGUAUUUCUUGAGACAUCUUACUGGA
rnacentral:piRNA from 1 species